rnacentral:rRNA from 1 species
AGCAGCCGCGGUAAUUCCAGCUCCAAUAGCGUAUAUUAAAGUUGUUGCAGUUAAAAGCUCGUAGUUGAAUUUCGGGAUCAAUACGUCGGUCGUGCUUCGGUACGUACUGGCGUAAUUGAUUUCUCCCUUCUGACGAACCAUGAUGUCAUUAACUUGGUGUCAUGGGAAAUCAGGACUGUUACUUUGAAAAAUUAGAGUGUUUAAAGCAGGCUCACGCUUGAAUACAUUAGCAUGGAAUAAUGAAAUAGGACGUUCGAUCCUAUUUUGUUGGUUUUUAGGAUCAACGUAAUGAUUAAUAGGGAUAGUUGGGGGCAUUAGUAUUCAAUUGUCAGAGGUGAAAUUCUUGGAUUUAUUGAAGACUAACUACUGCGAAAGCAUUUGCCAAGGAUGUUUUCAUUAAUC